rnacentral:rRNA from 1 species
AUCCCAGACUCCUACGGGAGGCAGCAGUGGGGAAUAUUGCACAAUGGGCGAAAGCCUGAUGCAGCGACGCCGCGUGAGUGAAGAAGUAUUUCGGUAUGUAAAGCUCUGUCAGCAGGGAAGAAAGAAAUGACGGUACCUGACCAAGAAGCCCCGGCUAACUACGUGCCAGCAGCCGCGGUAAUACGUAGGGGGCAAGCGUUAUCCGGAAUUACUGGGUGUAAAGGGAGCGUAGACGGUUAAGUAAGUCUGGAGUGAAAGGCCGGGGCCCAACCCCGGGACUGCUCUGGAAACUAUUGAACUUGAGUGCAGGAGAGGUAAGCGGAAUUCCUAGUGUAGCGGUGAAAUGCGUAGAUAUUAGGAGGAACACCAGUGGCGAAGGCGGCUUACUGGACUGUAACUGACGUUGAGGCUCGAAAGCGUGGGGAGCAAACAGGAUUAGAUACCCUUGUAACC